rnacentral:rRNA from 1 species
AUAACAAUACCGAGCUCCAAGAGUCUGGUAAUUGGAAUGAGUACAAUCUAAACCCCUUAACGAGGAUCCAUUGGACAGCAAGUCUGGUGCCAGCAGCCGCGGUAAUUCCAGCUCCAA